rnacentral:rRNA from 1 species
ACAGGGUGACAGGUGGUGCAUGGUUGUCGUCAGCUCGUGUCGUGAGAUGUUGGGUUAAGUCCCGCAACGAGCGCAACCCUCGACCUUAGUUGCCAGCAUUCAGUUGGGCACUCUAAGGUGACCGCCGGCUAAAAGUCGGAGGAAGGUGGGGAUGACGUCAAAUCAUCAUGCCCCUUAUGACCUGGGCUACACACGUGCUACAAUGGGCGGUACAAAGGGUCGCGAACCCGCGAGGGGGAGCCAAUCCCAAAAAGCCGCUCUCAGUUCGGAUUGCAGGCUGCAACUCGCCUGCAUGAAGCCGGAAUCGCUAGUAAUCGCGGAUCAGCAUGCCGCGGUGAAUACGUUCCCGGGCCUU